rnacentral:rRNA from 1 species
UACAGAGGUCUCAAGCGUUGUUCGGAUUCAUUGGGCGUAAAGGGUGCGUAGGCGGCGUGGUAAGUCGGGUGUGAAAUCUCGGAGCUUAACUCCGAAACUGCAUUCGAUACUGCCGUGCUUGAGGACUGGAGAGGAGAAUGGAAUUCCCGGUGUAGCGGUGAAAUGCGCAGAUAUCGGGAAGAACACCCGUGGCGAAGGCGGUUCUCUGGGACGGUACUGACGCUGAGACGCGAAAGCGUGGGGAGCGAACAGG